GAUUUUGCGGGAUUACACUUUACACACAGCAUGUAAUUUUGGUAUCUUAGACCAACCGGUCAAACGACCUCGGAGUCAAGCACUCCAUCGCUUCCGCAAACACAUUCCAACUUAAGAAACAUUUUCUAUCUGACUUACAUGGCGAGCCCAGGGAAUACCAUGCGCACCCAGUCGGCGAAGGCCGACCAUGAGCGCUAUCAGCUGCGCCAGGUGAGCCCCUCUAGGGCAAAGGAACUGGUACAAAAGGUCCAGGAAAUGUAUGAGAAGUACGUAAGGCGUGCCCAGCGUAAGGGCAUAACACCGCCGUCGCGCAUGUUUGACAAAGUCAGACAAUUCUGCGACGAGCAAGGCUAUCGCUCCGCACUAGGCUUCCUAAUGGAAGCUAAUGAGGAACUCUCCUAUGUGCAGAAAAGCCGCGAACUGCGGGAGCGUUUUAGCCACUGCGGCGCAUGACGCCGACAACAACGCCAAUGGAGCGCACGACCCAACAGGUCCCGGACCCUCGCGCCCACGUACUGCGCAGCCAACUGCUGCCGCCGCGGAGCCGGCCAGGGUAACUGGGCCCACCGCCGCGCUCCAGCCGCAACGCGGCACACGGCAGGGUG
rnacentral:lncRNA from 1 species